GCGCUCGUAGUAUAGGAGUAAUAAGGUUUACUUAUUCUAUACACUGGUAGUAUGCAAGGUUGCCAUCCUUGCGACCCGGGUUCGAAUCCCGGCGAGCGCA
rnacentral:tRNA from 1 species